UGGGAAUAUUUCGCAAUGGAGGAAACUCUGACGCAGUGACGCCGCGUAUAGGAAGAAGGUUUUCGGAUUGUCCACUAUUGUCGUGAGGGAAGAAAUUGACAGUACCUCAGGAGGAAGCUCCGGCGAACCAUGUGCCACCAGCCGCGGUAAUACAUAGGGAGCAAGCGUUAUCCGGAUUUAUUGGGUGUAAAGGGUGCGUAGACGGGAAAUUAAGUUAGUUGUGAAAUCCCUCGGCUUAACUGAGGAACUGCAACUAAAACUGGUUUUCUUGAGUACUGGAGAGGAAAGUGGAAUUCCUAGUGUAGCGGUGAAAUGCGUAGAUAUUAGGAGGAACACCAGUGGCGAAGGCGACUUUCUGGACAGUAACUGACGUUGAGGCACGAAAGUGUGGGGAGCAAACAUG
rnacentral:rRNA from 1 species